GUCUACAGCCAUGCCACCCUGAACAGCCCCGAUGUCUGAUCUCGGAAGUUAAGCAGAGUCGAGUCUGGUUAGUAUUUGGAUGGGAGACCACCUAGGAAGAUCAGGUCUGUAGGCA
rnacentral:rRNA from 1 species